GGAAAUUUUUACAUAUGAAGGAAAUUUCUGACUAUCAUUUAGGAAAAGAUGCCACAAUGAGUGAAUUUCAUGAAUUAAGGAUUUGGCACAAGCUGUGUCAAGUAUGAAGUAAUGAGCUUUCCGCUUCCAGUCACACGUUCAGUGUUUCUCAAUUCAGUCAAAAUUGGCAAGAGUCAAGCUGGUUAUGAAAGCAAAACCUGGAAGAGGCAAUUAAGCACUCUCAGGGUUAAAAGGUUGACUCCAGUGGAAACACAAAUCGUAAAUUUUACUCACAGAUAUUUCUGUUCUUCAGAGGCCGUGGCUCAAGCAGAGCAGUGUGCGGGCAGGAGGGCUCCUCGCUCAGGGCGGGGCGAUGAAGGGCGUGGAUGCCGGCCUGCCCAGGAGGCCUUCCUGUGCGCUGUCCUGCUGCCGCAGCAGGGGCAGGUGGGAGCCAGUUGGGGUCUCCAGGGAAGCUCGGUGUUGUUCCAGUUGCUUCCUUGGAGGUGGAGGGCGCUGCUCAAGGCAUCUUGUGUGUGCUCCUUGGGCCUUUAGAAAUAUGCUCACCAACCGUCCCGGUUUGCCCAGGACCGAGGGGGGCUCCUAGGAUGCAGGACUUUGGUCAGCGCUACAACUAGAAAACCCCAGAUGGAGCUGGAUUAGAUCCAGGCUGCCUGCAGCAGGGGUUAAAGACAGAAGAUUUGGAGUAGAACAUAAGGCCCA
rnacentral:lncRNA from 1 species